CUCUUGUUAGCUCAGUUGGUUAAAGCGCGGUGCUGAUGACGUCAAGUUUGCAGGUUCGAUCCCGUAUGGGACA